UCGCGCGUGGCGCUCGGGCAUGCAUCGAGUCUACUCAGUUUAUUAUUAUUAUCAUAAUAAUAAACUGAGUAGACUCGAUGCAUGCCCGAGCGCCACGCGCG
rnacentral:miRNA from 1 species